rnacentral:rRNA from 1 species
UACAGAGGUGGCAAGCGUUGUUCGGAAUUACUGGGCGUAAAGGGCGCGUAGGCGGCCAUCUAAGUCAGACGUGAAAUCCCCCGGCUUAACCUGGGAACUGCGUCUGAUACUGGAAGGCUUGAGUAUGGGAGAGGGAUGUAGAAUUCCAGGUGUAGCGGUGAAAUGCGUAGAUAUCUGGAGGAAUCACCGGUGGCGAAGGCGGCAUCCUGGACCAAUACUGACGCUGAGGAGCGAAAGCGGAGGGCAAACGGG